rnacentral:rRNA from 1 species
AUUGAACGCUGGCGGCCGGCCUAACACAUGCAAGUCGAGCGAGCGGCGGACGGGUUAGUAAUGUCUGGGAAACUGCCUGAUUGCUGGGGAUAACUACUGGAAACGGUAGCUAAUACCGCAUACCAUCAGAUGUUCCCAGAUGGGAUUAGCUAGUAGGGGGGGUAAUGGCUCACCUAGGCGACGAUCCCUAGCUGGUCUGAGCGGCUGACCAGCCAAACUGGAACUGAGACACGGUCCAGACUCCUACGGGAGGCAGCAGUGGGGAAUAGUGCACAAUGGGCGCAAGCCUGAUGCAGCCAUGCCGCGUGUGUGAAGAAGGCCUGCGGGUUGUAAAGCACUGUCAGCGGGGAGGCGUUACCCGCAGAAGAAGCACCGGCUAACUCCGUGCCAGCAGCCGCGGUAAUUC